GGCUACAGCUCCGUUGGACACCUAGCCUGGGAACCUCUGUAUGCCUUGGAUGAGGCCCUAAAAAAAAAAGAUCAAAAAAAAAAAAGUAUCAUUGCCGCAGUCAUAGAGCCAGGGUGCAAUCAAGCAUGACUCACAAUGGCUAAGAGGUGAAAGGUACCAAGAGUUGUCCAUGGAUGGAUGAAAGGAUAAACACACGUGGUGCAGAUGCACAGGGAGUAGUACCCGGCUUGAAAAAGGAAGGAAACGCUGACACACGCUGCAGCCUGGAUGAACCCUGAGGAUGUUAUGCGAAGUGAAAUAAGCCACUCACAAAGAAAGAGAAGUCCUAGAAGAUCCCACUUAGAUGAGGUACUUAGAGCCGUCAAACUCACGCAAAUGACCAUUGGUGUGAAAGUCAAAUGAGUUGCCAGGACCUGAGGUGGAGGGAGACAUGGGCCGUGGUCGUUUACAGGUGCAGGUUUCGGUUUUGCACGAUGAAAAAGUCCUGGAGAUGUGUUGCAUAAUGUGAAUGUGUGUAAUUCCAGUAAAUGGUACAUUUAAACAUGUGAAAAUGGUGAAAUUUUGUGUUAGGUGUUUUUUACCACGGUUAAACAAAAGUAAUCAUUUUUGCCCUGUUUCUAAGCCAUGCUGAUGGGUGCCUGUCUCUUUUCUCUUCCCUGAUGUUGGCACAUCCCCAGUUUCCUCUUACUGUGCAUCUCACAUACCUUUCUCUUGUGGGAAUUCCUCAGGUUACACUUAUUUUGGGAUCAACCGUCUAUGACACCCACCCCAUGGAAACCAAAGGGAACACGCCUUCCCCCUCGGGGCCCCCUGUGAUGGUUUCUGCUCCUCAUCACUGGACACUGCCUAUGGUCUGUUUCUUCCUGGCCCGGCCGCUCUCCAGAGAUGCAAAUGCUGGGUUGUUUUCUGCAGCUGCAUUGAUUAGCUGUAUCAGUGGGCUUGGUUUAAUUGCAGUGACUCCACCGUUAACAAAUUUAUACAAGGUGCAGUAAGAAAAAUGUCUUUGGGAACUUCCAUUUCCCCAAAAGAGAAAAUGUAACAUUUCCCUGCAUCAUUUGAAUUUUUUACUGCUAAUAAAUGCCUGGCACUGCUUUUUGGUGUGAUAUUUAAGUCCAAAGGGAUAUUGUGGAGCCUAUGUGUACAUGAUUUAAUGUAGAACAUAGAAUUUUACUGUUGGAAGGGAUUUCUGAGGGGUUUUAUUUCAACCUCCUCAUUUUAUAGAGGAGGAAUUUGGGGUUUUUACUAGGGAAGUGGUCAUGGCAGAGCCAGGACUGGGCCGAGGUCCCAAUUUGUAUUCUGGGCUCCUUCUAUUCCUUGAUGCACCCUCCUAGGACUUAUUAAAGUGUACUUGGUGCCAGGUAGCCAAACACCAUUUCAGACCAUGAUAUAUCUAUUAGCUUGAAGUGACUGUGUGCUGAAUUUGUCAGCAGUGAGAAGUGACUUCUCACUGUCUUCGAAGUCCUCUGUGGGUGGCCCUCCCUUCACUCAAAAGAUGUUCCUUUGAUGUCAUGUGCAAAAGUCAGCUUUUGAACUGAGGAUUCCAGGGAGCUGAGUAUUUGAGGACUGUUGGAUGGAUGCAGUCCAAAGACGGAAAACGUCUUCCACACCAUGAAAAAAAAAAUCACCCUUUAAUUGACCUCCCAUGGGAAGGCUUGUUUGCAUUCACCUUGGACACCCUACCUUUACUCACCCCAUCAUAUAUGAUACCCUUUAGAAACCUUGUCAAUACUUCCUACGUGGAUGUAAGCAUCCUGAAGUCCUGCUGCAGCUUCUAGCUCCUAGCUCCUGUCCAGCACUCAGGAGGGGCCCUUUCAGUCUGGUUGUACUGAAUUUAAGUAGACCAUUCACAGGAAAAGUAUGGUCAAAAAUAAAAGGCAGCUUCCUUAAGCAUUGGGCACAGUGUUUGGUAACCAGAUAGAAUUAGCCCCACGAAGCUUCACAAGUGAGAUGAGCUGUGGUCUUGGUUUUGAAGGAUAGGCAGAAAACUCAUGCAGGCAACUCUAGUAGAGGAAAAACAGCCUGCUUAGGAAGAAGGAAGUACAGAGAGGAGAGGGAAAAGCAAACUGUCCAGGAUGGAGGUGGGCAGUGAGCUUCCUUUGCAUUGUUGACCUAACUCAAUGUGAUUCCUGCCACUCCCUCUGACUCCCUGUCAUGUGUAGUGGUGGGUUCCUCAGUGGCCACUCUGUCUUGAAGCACCCUCCUGAUAACCUACAGCUGAUGGAGCCGAGGAUGGCCCCCUGAUCCAGGCUGGGGCAAUCAGUCUCUUUCCUGAGAAUUUGUACUAGGAACUGGGAGAGGAUCUUGAGUCUCUGGCUCUGUCAUUUGAGCUUGGGUCCUGUGAGAUGGACAUCUGGUACCUGCCCCAGAGGCUGUAGAAAGGAAGAAGGGUGGUUAGCAGAGGGAGAGGAGAGAGAUGAGGCUAAACUGGAUGUUAUUCCAGCUUCCGGGACCCAGCCCUGUCCCAGGGCCAGUUGCAGCCCUGCCUGCAUGUCCCCUUCAGCAUCUCUCUGAUUGCAGUAUGGAUUCUCCUUUUCUACUUAGAUCACUUCUGAGAUGGAGUGAGACUGGUUCUGUUCUUUGUACCUGGAAAAGUGUUAAGGAAUAGAAGGAGCUUCAGGGAGGAGAAUUAGCAUUCUGGUUGCAUCUCACAGGCCUGUUGGGGAGGUCUGAGUUUGAUCUCCCUGGCAGCCAGGCUUAGUGGCUUGGUCCUAGUGUGCUUAGUGGCUUGGUCCUAGUGUGCCUGAGUCACUCUGUCAUGUCUGCUGUGAUGUGGCACUCCUGUGCCAUCUGGACUUAGGACCAAGAGUGGAGAUCCUUGGCUGGAUGCUCAUAUAUUCAUUUGAACCUUGCAUAUCUCCACCGUGUUCUGUACUAGAUGCUGCUGUUAGACAUGGCUAGAGUCCAGCAGGGGGGACUAUAACAGUGCCCCCCGCCCCCCACCAGUCCAUUCUUCUAAGGAAGAAUUUACGUAGACUUAAAGAUGGAUAUUCAGUAAUAUCUUCUUCCUCCUUGUAGGUUGUGGGGUUCACACAAGAUGUUAAACAUCAGAGCAAGAGGGUGAGCUUUCAAGUUGGGGAGGUGAUUCAGGAGGCAGUGGAGAGGACAGCAGGGUAGGAGCAGGAUUAGUGGUGAUGGACAGCAUCAGCCAUGGUAACGGCAUCGGAAGAGAGAACAUUAAUGGUACCAGCAAGAAGGUACAGACCACAGGACUCUCUGAAUCUAUGGCUGCCUCAUAAGGGGACUGCUAAGGUUAACUGAGUAAGAGCAGGUUUGGUGGGUAUAUUGAAGCUGUAUUUCAGAUAGGUGGCUUAGGGGCCCAGGGCAAGCAAGAUAAAGACAUCAAGGAUGGAGCCAGGGCCAGAGACCGCUGCUUGGGAAUCAUUAGGCUCUGGGUGAUCUUUGAAGCCAUCAGCCUGGAUGUGGCUUUCCAGGGAGAGUGUUGGAGAGGAAGUCAAGACUAAGGCUUGGGGAUGCCAGUGUUUAAGGGAAGCCAAGAAAAGAUGGGUCCACAAAGGACAUUGAGAAGGUCUAGCAGGAGAGGUAGGAGGGAACCUGUUAUCCUGAAUUGUUAUUAUUCAUUGAAGGUUUAGUAUGAUAGAGGCACUGUGCUUGGGGUUUCAUGUAUUGUACUCUUUAAAUCUGCAACAACCUUGCAGGUGGGUAUUGGUCAUGGUUGAUGGGCUCAGAGUUUAAGUAACAUGCCCAAGUUUAAGGUCUGCAGCCAGCAUGGCAGACCUGCCUCUUUUCAAAGAACACGUUCUUCUCCACCCCAUGGGAAAGGUGGUUGCAGCAGAGAUGGGGGCACCAGAGUCCAGAAAACCCACCUUCUUUCACUUGACCUGAGCAACUUGAGCAGAUGUCAAGUUCAGGGAACUUGACCAUUGCAGGUACAAGUCUGGGGGUGGGUGGGCACUGACCUCCUUUCUCUGCUGGCCUCGCUGAGCAGGCCAUGAAAUGGAGACCUGGACAAAGAGGCUAUUUAAAAUGGAAUAUGGAAAACAGUGCCAGCGAAGUAAUUGCAUCAUGAAUUGUGGCCAGAAAAGGAGCCUAGCAACAAACUCAGUUUCUGUUGGGCACAAGACACAGAGAACUUACUGUACCCAGUUCUGUCUUUUUCCUUCUUGUUGGCGUCUUUAUUUUUCUUUCUUGAGUACACUGGUGGACCAGCUUUAUCUAAGGUCCUGGGGUUGGCGUGGUCCUUCUGAGCCUUGAAGUGUUUGGGGAGGUCCCUCAGGUGGUAUGGAUGUGGGCAUAUCCCCUGUCUAACAUUGGCUGAGCACUUGUGUGCAAGAGAAUGUACCUGAGUGUUGUCCACAUAUUACCUUAUUUACCUGUUGGCCCCCAACCCUGUGAGUUAGGUAAUAUAAUUAUCUUUUUCUUUUCUUUUUUUUCUUUUCCUGGUGGGGAAACUGUGCUGGGGAAGGUUAAGACCUUGUCCAUGAUCCCAUGGCUAAUGGUGGUGAAUUAGGGCUUGAACUUGGCCCGCUGACCUUCCACAGUUAUUCUCUGCAUCUUCCCUCCUUUGUCAGGGGCUGGUAUCUUGUCCAGUCCGAGUCUCCUUGGCCUGCGUCUGGUUUUCUUGGCUCUCAGCUGUGAUUGUCGUGGAAGACCCUGCAGGGCUAGCAAAGCUUGUUGGAGAGGGAGCUGGCUGAGUGACCUGGAAGAGGUAGAACAGCUUGUUCAGAGGUCUUCCUUUGAGAGGUCGACACCAGGGGAGCUGCUGAAGGCCCAGGAGUGGGUCAUGUCACCACAAAGCUUUGUUCCUGUGCUUCUCUGGCGUUCAGACGAAGCUGUUGCUUAGACUCUGGAAAUUGUCAUGUGACUGAACAUCCCGUGGCCUCUGGGGGCAGUCAUGGGGGCCCCCUCCUUCCUGUGGGGAGGAGCUGUGCACGGCAGGCUUGGUUGUGAACAGCUGACUGCUCACUGCUCACCCCCCGCCGGGCCCUGGAUGGAACAUCCUAGUGAAAGCCAGUGUCUUAAUACUUAGCAACAUUGCCUUUGUUUAAGCCUCUUGCUUAGGGAUUUUCUUGUGUCACCAGGGUGGUUCUGUGCUCCCUUGCUAAUGAAUUAUCCAGGAGUCAAUGGCCCGUGCACAGUGGAUUGGUUUGUCAUCCAUGCGGCAUAAGACACAGCUGUCAGCCUUGUGUGACUGGAACCCGAGGUCAGGGCCUCUGAGGUGAUGACGAAGCUGCCCCAUUAGCCGCGUUCCCGUUCCCUCCCUGUGCAUGGGGAGCCAGCACGUGCGCUUGGCUUGCCACUCAUCUGUGGUGCGCAGUGGUUCAGGCCUGGAAGGCGGCUAAGACUUCUGAUGGGAUUUAUCUCCCUGAGCAGCGUGAUUUGAUAAACGCUGGCAUCACAGACUUGGGGAGUGAAAAGAACCUUGGUUCAAUCCCUUUAUCUUGCAUCUGUGAAAACAGAGGCUGGAGAAAGGAGGUUGGUUCCGUGGCUGGGUCUCUGGGCUGGAAGCGGAGGCAGACCCUCUGCCUGGUGCCCCCAAUUUCUCUGGGAUACUGCUGCAGAUACUUCAGUGGCAGAUGCCUCGAGGGCUGAUCCUGUGGCCUGAGAAAACGGGGAGGAAGAUGAUAACGAGAUGGGAGAAACCUCACCACUCUUCCGUCGGGCGGGUUUCUUCUCAGAUGCUCUGAUGUUGAACAUUUGAUUUAGCCUCACUCGUUGCCAUCCAGAAUCACAGCCACAGUCGUGAGGAAGGCUCAGCCACUUUCUGCCCAGUGAACGAGGAUCAGCUGUCAUGUUAGAAAACUCCCUUGCUCUUCAGGUUAUUAAAGAACUAUUAGUGCCCUCCGACAGGCAUGUAAGAAAUGAAGCCUCCGGAGGCUUGCAUAGCAGUAAUAAGUGCCUCGUUUGCACCCAAGGAUUCGCUUGCUCACUCAGCAGGAUCUGGGUCAAUAGACAUCAUUUUCAUAAGACAUUUAUCUUUCUUUUUCAUAUUAGUUAGACUAUUUUUUUUUUUCCUGGCAUUUGCUUUGGAGCAAUAGGCUUUUGGGAAAAAAUAAAACAGGCCGAUUAGAAGAAUAAAGCUUGAAUUGAAUUUGGGUACAAGAGAAUAAAAUGUAACUUCCAAUGCUCUGGACCACUUCCAUUUAUGUCAGUCCUUUGCCAUAAUGAGGUUUAGAUUUAAAAUUCAAUUCCAGUUUCUGUAAGGUGAUUGCUCACAAGGAAGGGUGCAGAUAGUAUUAACAAUGGUACUUGGGGAGAUUGGCGAGGGUGUGUAAGGAGGAGCCUGAAGAGCAGGUGGCAGGGGUUGACCCCUGAUCCAGUCAGCCAAUGGCACACACCAAGAGUGCCCAGGUACCCGUUCAUUCCUGUUGGUCUUGGUUUUGCUUUUUGAUGAGCAUCCUUCCAAACGCUCAGUGUACACACUCUGACUUUCAGUUACAUUCUCGGGCCAUGCAUGGCCUGAAUUAUAUUUCCCCCAGAAUUCGGAUGCUGAAGCCCUAACCCUCAUGGUGACAGUGCUUGGAGACAGGGCUUUUAGAUGGUAAUUAAAGUUGAAGGGUGAGGGUCCUAGUGUGAUAGAUUUCUUUGUCCAUCUGCCACAUGUGUGCACAGUGAGAAGGGCGUCAUUGACAAGCCAGAAGGAGAGUCUCGCCAGAGCUCACCCAUGCUGGCACCCUGGUCUCGGACUUGUGGCCUCCAGAACGGCAAGAACAUUAAUUUGUGUUGUCGAAGCCCCCAGGCUAUUGUAUUUUGUCAUCACGACACAAGCUGACCCGUGGCCUCCCUCCCUGCUUUCCUUCCUUUGUUCUUAUUUCAUGUCAGCAGUUUCAGUUGAGGUCUAUGAAAUUUGUUGGUUUAUAAGGGAAUCAUUAGGCAGCUUUGGAUGCAUUUUGCCCUGGAACUAGUGUUCUGGGUAUGACUGGGUUGCCACGUGGCCCUGAAACAUCUGUGUAAGCCAUCAGCUACCUAAGUAGCCCGUUCAGGGAUGUCCCGUGAUAUUUAGACACCAUUAAAGGAGAAAGUGGAUAAUACAUUCACAUCGUUCAAAAAAGUCUAAAUAGAGAGUUUCGUUUUCAUCUUGCCCACCAUCCAUCCAUUUCCACUGUUGCCUCCCCAGGAAACAUGUUUAUUCGUUCGAAUAUACACAUGUACAUAAAUUUAACUUCCCAAGACUUUAAAAAAUUUUUUCCAGAUGGUCUUUUAUGGUACCACGCUACUUAUAUUUCAUAGUUGCAAUAUCUUUUCUUAUCCCUCUGAGGAUAUUAAUCAAAAUUAUUUUUGCUUUCUCCCCUCCCUGUAGAGUCUUUUUGCUUCCCAGUUUCUCACUUCAUUUCCCCCUCUGUUUUGAUCUUUGUCUUUCAUGUUCACAGCUUUCCUCCAGUGUCUGAUAAUAUGCAGUUGUUGGUUCAUCUGUAAGAAGGACUUUGAAGCUGCCUGUAGGCUUUGGUGUGUGGGUAGGGCAUGUUGACGCCAAGUCUCCCUGUAGGGUGAUGUGGCUGGGUUGUCUGUUUAAAAAUCAGUCUUGGUUGAGUAGUUGCAUUGUCUGCAUAUGGACCACAUCUUCUUCAUCCCUUCUUACAUCAGUGGUGGCUUAGAUUGUUCCCAUAUCUUGGCUGUGGUAAAUAAUGACAAUAGUACAACAAUAAUACGAAGAACAUAGGGGUGCAUGUGUCUUAUUGACUUGGUUUUCCAUUCUUUAGGUAAAUACCUAGGAUUGGAAUAGCUGGAUCCCAUGAUCGUUUGGUUCUUUUUUUGAGGAGUUGCCAUACUGUUUUCCUUAGUACCUGGUGUUUGGUGGUGGUGCAUGUGCAUGGGAGCCAAGCGUAUCCAGAAGUCGACCUGUCAUGUUAUAUGCAUAAAAUGUAUACAGCUUUGUAAACCCGAGUUAACUCAAGAAAAGAGAAUCAGUGUUGAUAUCUUCUGGGCUUUCCUCUUUGGUUGCUCAGAUUCUUCAGAGCAACUACCAUCUCCUGCCUGGAGAGUGAAGGGCAGACUGUUGGUGUUAUGGAGAGCCAGUGGGGAUGAGAAGGCUGGGGUGUGUAUCUGUGUGAUUAUCUCAGAAUCCUCCUUUGUUUGCCUAAUUCUCUAUUUAACCCUCUAUUUUAUAUGAGUUACCCUCGCCUGCAACCAGUGCUGCGGUCUUUCGAUGAAGAGACCCUCUAAUAUGGGCUGUCCUGUGAUGCAUCUCCCAGGUCGGUUUGCCACAGUGUGAAGUGGAUAUUGAUCAUGAGAGAACCAUCAUGCAUCUGCGAUGUGGUUUGACCAACCCAGUUCUUUUUCAUCACUAGGCUUUUGGACCCAUUUGUCACUCAUUCGCCAUUCAUCCUUCUGUUCAUUUGCUCUGUCAGGGCCUGGAGAGAGAAGCGUAUCCUUCAUGAUGUGGUGUUGAGAUUUAGGCAUAUUAUUUCAGACGUUCCUUGCUUGGUGUAGUUUCCUUGUGAGUAAAAAUAAAGAAAGAUGUAUAGGAAUAACAGAACGAGAAGUGUUGUAGAAUGCAUAUGAAGAAAAUGACAAAAAUGUAUCAACUGACAAAAAAGAAAUAAAGGGGGAUGAGGGCUGCCAGUUUCUUCCAGUGUGAUCAAGAUGUCAGUUCUUUCCAAGCCAUGUAUCAUUUCACCCCCGUACAAUAAACGUCUCAGCUGCGGUUUUCUUUCUUUCUU